ACAUAUUGUGAGCUCGAUGAGUAGGGCGGGACACGUGGUAUCCUGUCUGAAUAUGGGGGGACCAUCCUCCAAGGCUAAAUACUCCUGACUGACCGAUAGUGAACCAGUACCGUGAGGGAAAGGCGAAAAGAACCCCGGCGAGGGGAGUGAAAAAGAACCUGAAACCGUGUACGUACAAGCAGUGGGAGCACGCUUAGGCGUGUGACUGCGUACCUUUUGUAUAAUGGGUCAGCGACUUAUAUUCUGUAGCAAGGUUAACCGAAUAGGGGAGCCGAAGGGAAACCGAGUCUUAACUGGGCGUUAAGUUGCAGGGUAUAGACCCGAAACCCGGUGAUCUAGCCAUGGGCAGGUUGAAGGUUGGGUAACACUAACUGGAGGACCGAACCGACUAAUGUUGAAAAAUUAGCGGAUGACUUGUGGCUGGGGGUGAAAGGCCAAUCAAACCGGGAGAUAGCUGGUUCUCCCCGAAAGCUAUUUAGGUAGCGCCUCGUGAAUUCAUCUCCGGGGGUAGAGCACUGUUUCGGCAAGGGGGUCAUCCCGACUUACCAACCCGAUGCAAACUGCGAAUACCGGAGAAUGUUAUCACGGGAGACACACGGCGGGUGCUAACGUCCGUCGUGAAGAGGGAAACAACCCAGACCGCCAGCUAAGGUCCCAAAGUCAUGGUUAAGUGGGAAACGAUGUGGGAAGGCCCAGACAGCCAGGAUGUUGGCUUAGAAGCAGCCAUCAUUUAAAGAAAGCGUAAUAGCUCACUGGUCGAGUCGGCCUGCGCGGAAGAUGUAACGGGGCUAAACCAUGCAC
rnacentral:rRNA from 1 species